rnacentral:lncRNA from 1 species
AGAAGCAGCUUGCUACCCCCAGAAGAUGAGAGAUGAGGUCAAUGGAAAAGCAAGUGGCUGUGUURUGUCGUCCUGAUGCUCCUUGGAAAGACAAGUUUUUUCUGCGACUUAAAGAAGGCUCUGCUGGACUGUACAAGUCUAGACAGGUAAUUUUGUGCGAAUGCUAAACCGCAGCUCUAAAAUGACAUCAAUCCCCAAACUGAGAAAUGCGUACAGUGAGAGCGCCCAGAGGAAAGAGCAAGACUGGAACUUGGCCUGGUAUCAGCACCGCUCUUGAAUCCAUGCAGAGAUGCGAGUAGAUGUGUUUUAGCUGA